rnacentral:rRNA from 1 species
ACAUGCAGCUCUGACUAAGUAAUCCACCUGAAGCUAUGUAGGUUUAGGCCUGGCUAGUACUUGUAGGGGAGACCAACUAGGAAAGCAGUGUUGCUGCUGGAA